rnacentral:sRNA from 1 species
AUUUUUUUGCCUAAAAUUCAUUUUUUUUUUGUUUGACUACAGUUCUCAUAUUUUACUGUAUCAAAAUUGUUGGUGUUGUUUUCUAGACAUUAUUACUAAUGUUUUAAUUGUAAGGGAGAUUUGCAAAACUACCCUUUUUUUAACUACCCUUUUGCAACAAUAUCCUUUUAUGUUGUCCAUUUUUAAAAAUACCCCUUCCCUUGAACAAAAUGACCAAAUUAACCUCAUUUAAUAGAAACAUGUAAUUGAAAACUGAACUUUUUCCGCCAAUUUUUUGGCGCCAAAAUUUUUUUUCCCGCCAAAAAAAACAUUUUCCGCCAAAUUUUUCCUCAAGAAAAAAAAAGAUUUUAAAAAUCCUUGUAAAUAUUUUUUGGCGGCAAAUAGAUUUACAAGGGAUUUUAAAAGGGUUUUAAAAGAUUUACAAGAGAUUUUAAAAGAGUUUUAAAAGAUUUACAAGAGAUUUUAAAAGGGUUUUAAAAAAUUUACAAGUAAUUUUAAAAGGUUUUAAAAUCCCUUGUAAAUCUUUCAAAACACUUUUAACCCUUUAAAAAGCUUUACAAAUCUUUUGUAAAUCUUUUAAAGCCCUUUAAAAUCCCUUGUAAAUAUUGUAAAACCCUUUUAAAAUCCCUUCUAAAUAUUUUAAAAUCCUUUAAAAACAAUUUUAAACUCUUUAAAAAUCUUUAAAUGACCUUUGUAAAUCUUUUAAAUCUCUUUAAAAUUCCUUGUAAAUCUUUUAAAAACCUUUUAAAAUCCUUUGUAAAUCACCCUUUUAAAAUCCCUUGUAAAUCUUAUAAAACCCCUUUAAAAUCUCUUGUAAAUAUUUUAAAACUCUUUUAAAAUCCCUUGUAAAUCUAUUUCCCUUCAAAAAAACAAAUUGGCGGGAAAAAUAUUUUUGAAAACAAAAUUUGGCGGGAAUUUUUUUUUCGAAAUUUUUUGGCGGGAAAGUUUUGGCCGGAAAUUUUUUUUGAAAUACUUUAGGCGACAAAAUAUUAAUAUUUUAUUUUGUUAACUUAAAACAAUUUCUAAAUAAGGGUAAAAUGGUCAUUAAAAAUUUAAAGAGGGUAGAAAUAAAAAUGGAUAAAACAAAAGGGUAGAAUUGAAAAGGGGCAUCAUGAAAACGGCAGUAGAAAGAAUUUUUCUAAUUGUAACUGGUUCAAGAAAGAUAUUUUCUAUAAUGAAAGAAAUCUUAU